UGCAUGGGCUGUCGUCAGCUCGUGUCGUGAGAUGUUCGGUUAAGUCCGCUAACGAGCGCAACCCUCGUCGUAUGUUAUAUGUGUCAUACGAGACUGCCGGUAAAAGCCGGAGGAAGGUGAGGAUGAUGUCAAGUCAGCAUGACCUUUAUAUCCAGGGCUACACACACGCUACAAUGGUCUGUACAAUGGGUAGCCAAGCCGCGAGGCGGAGCCAAUCCUGAAAGCAGGCCUCAGUUCAGAUUGCAGUCUGCAACUCGACUGCAUGAAGCCGGAGUUGCUAGUAACCGCAGGUCAGCAAUACUGCGGUGAAUACGUUCCCGGGUCUU
rnacentral:rRNA from 1 species